rnacentral:rRNA from 1 species
UACGUAGGGACCAAGCGUUGUUCGGAUUUACUGGGCGUAAAGCGCGUGUAGGCGGCUUUGCAAGUCGGAUGUGAAAUCCCACGGCUCAACCGUGGAAGUGCAUUCGAAACUGCAAGGCUAGAGUUCUGGAGAGGAAGGUGGAAUGCUUGGUGUAGAGGUGAAAUUCGUAGAUAUCAAGCGGAACACCGGUGGCGAAGGCGGCCUUCUGGACAGUAACUGACGCUGAGACGCGAAAGCGUGGGGAGCAAACAGG